GCUUCGAUAGCUCAGUGGUAGAGCGAGAGAUUGCAGUGAGCGCUUCAAAUAUCUCUAGGUCACGUGUUCGAACCACGUUCGGAGCU
rnacentral:tRNA from 1 species